rnacentral:rRNA from 1 species
CCCCUAGAUGUUCUGGGCCGCACGCGCGCUACACUGAACAGUUCAACAAGUCUUAACCUUGGCCGAUAGGUCUGGGUAAUCUCCAAAUUUCGUCGUGAUGGGGAUAGAUUAUUGCAAUUAUUAAUCUUCAACGAGGAAUGCCUAGUAAGCGCAAGUCAUCAGCUUGCGUUGAUUACGUCCCUGCCCUUUGUACACACCGCCCGUCGCUCCUACCGAUUGAAUGGUCCGGUGAAGCGUUCGGACCGUGGCCUUUGGACGGUUCGCCGUCUGUUGGCUGCGGGAAGUUCGUUAAACCUUAUCAUUUAGAGGAAGGAGAAGUCGUAACA